rnacentral:tRNA from 1 species
ACGGGAGUAGCUCAAUUGGCAGAGCACCCGUCUCCAAAAUGGGUUGUUGGGGGUUCAAGUCCUCUCUCCCGUGCCA